CACGCCCCCUAGCCCGAGCCCGGCUCCACUCGAACCCGACGGGGUCGUCCAGGGCGGCGGGACUGCAGGGGCUUGAGAUUCGGCAGUGACCGCAUCACACCACUAGAGGAUCGUUCCCACAUAGGAACUUUUGCCCGCUCCACAAAUACUGUUUACGGGUCAGCUCCUGCUGCGUGCCGCGCGCUGUUCACGGGCUCCAGGAGGCGGCUGCGCACACAGCAAACUGCGCUCAGGGAGCUUCUGUCUCAGAUCUCAUGGCCAAAUUGUGAAGUGCCUGGUGUGUAUUAGACUCCAGCCUGCUACAUUCAUGCAAGAGUCUGGUUGGACCACAGUGCAUUUACCCGUUCACCUACCGAAGGACAUCUGGGUCGUUUCCAAGUUUGGAAAUGAUGAAUAAAGCUGCUAUCAACAUCCUUGACCCCACAACCUGCUGCUUCCUUCCUGCUGGAGCUCCACAAGGCAUUCAACUCCAUCCCAUCUUUUUCCUUUACUCUUCCCUGAAUUUUUCUCCGAAUGAUGAAGGGAAGGAAGGAAUAAACAGAGGACUGCAUUAGGACUACAUGACAUUACAGGGUAAAAAGGACUUUGCAGAAGGAAUUAAUGUUACAGACUGCCCUGUAGGAAGAUUAUCUGAGAUUAUCUACGUGAGCCCCAUCGAGUCACACAAGCCCUUUAAAAAGGCAGAGAACUUUGUCCAGCUGGAGUCAGAGAGACAGAGAAGGGGCAAGUCAGAGGGCUUCAGAGUGUGUGAGGGACUCAACCUGCUCUUGCUGGCAGGGACCACAUCGAAAUCGCUAGAAGGAAUGCAAGCAGCCUGUAGGGGCAAAGACCAGUUUCUGCUGCGAGCCCACAGACCCACGGGACCCUAGUCCUACAACCAACCACAGGAAAUUGAACUCAACCAACUGUUUGGAAGGGCUUGGGAGUACCCGCAUUCCCAGAGCCCCCCACAAGCAGCACAGCCGGGCUGAAAGGGACCUCAGUUUCAGCCCAGGCAGAGAGCUGCCGAUCGGCCCCCGGGUGGGAGAUACUAGGCAGUGUGGUUUUAAGCCAUUACAUUGGUCGCAAUUUGUUACAGCAGCGAAAGAAAACUUCUGUCCGCUCACCCGCUGGCUGUUCUUCGAGUCUGUGAGCGGGGAGUGCUGUCAGAGGUCAGGGUGUCCUCCUGAGGGCUCACGGCCAAGUCC